GGAAUGGAGGAAAAGGUUUUAUAAUGGAUGAUAGGUGGGGAGCUUAGUGGUUAAGACUCCUUUGAAAGCAAGUUAUUCAGAGCUUUUAUCAACACAUCUCUAGAGGUAUAAAAUUAUGUUGUUCUCCUAGAGGUUGUGCGAGUUGUUCAAAUGUUAUAGAGUUUGAAGAUAGGUUUAAACCCUUUUUGGUCUCUAAGUUAAGUUCUGAUGUUCAGUUUAGUCCCCGCUUUUAAAAAUGUCAACCUUUAGUCCCUAUGAUAUGAAAAAUGUAUCAAAUCAGUCCUAUUCGUUAACAAAUCACAAGUUUUUCAUCAAGU
rnacentral:lncRNA from 1 species